rnacentral:rRNA from 1 species
UGGGGAAUCUUGCGCAAUGGGCGAAAGCCUGACGCAGCGACGCCGCGUGGGUGAUGAAGGCCUUCGGGUUGUAAAGCCCUGUGGAGGGGGACGAAUAAGCCAUGGCUAACAUCCAUGGUGAUGACGGUACCCCUUUAGCAAGCACCGGCUAACUCUGUGCCAGCAGCCGCGGUAAGACAGAGGGUGCAAACGUUGUUCGGAAUUACUGGGCGUAAAGCGCGUGUAGGCGGCCUCGCAAGUCGGGUGUGAAAGCCCUGGGCUCAACCCAGGAAGUGCACUCGAUACUGCAAGGCUUGAGUUCCGGAGAGGAAAGCGGAAUUCUCGGUGUAGAGGUGAAAUUCGUAGAUAUCGAGAGGAACACCGGUGGCGAAGGCGGCUUUCUGGACGGCGACUGACGCUGAGACGCGAAAGCGUGGGGAGCAAACAGG